UACGAAGGGAGCUAGCGUUGUUCGGAUUUACUGGGCGUAAAGGGCGCGUAGGCGGUUAUGCAAGUCAGAUGUGAAAGCCCUGGGCUCAACCCGGGAAUUGCAUUUGAAACUGCAUGGCUUGAGUAUGGGAGAGGUAGGUAGAAUUCCCAGUGUAGAGGUGAGAUUCGUAGAUAUUGGGAAGAAUACCAGUGGCGAAGGUGGCCUACUGGACCAUAACUGACGCUGAGGCGCGAAAGCGUGGGGAGCAAACAGG
rnacentral:rRNA from 1 species